CCCCACUCCUUAAAAAGAAAUAUCCCCCCGGUUCAUUCCCUAAUUUCACUGCCCUCAUCACAAUCGGCUUCUCCGCUCUUGAGAUCGCCGGCUCUGUUGCUCACCUCUUAACGUUAACGGUUCCGUGCAUUACCUCCACCCUCGUGGUUCCUGCGAUCUCAAUAAGUUCGCUGACCUUUGCUCUCCAACGAAACCUUGGGGCCAAUGGUUAUAGCUAAUGGUGGAUUUAGGGUAAGUGCGGAUUCUUGGGGACUCAAACAUUAAGCGUACAAGGUACAAGGUUUGUUCCUUCAUCAACCCCGUCCCAGCCAACUCUUUUCUAUCAGCAAACACAAAAACAAGCUCAGAUUCAGAGACGUGCUACUCAACCAUCAGUCCACAGCGUUAAACUGCCAUUCAAGAAACCAAUAAACAAAAGCACGAGUGCUUCCAAUCAUUUUGAAGCCCCUAGACCAACUAGAGAUUUUUCCAAAUUGAUAAAUGAGAUAAUGAAAGGUCUAGAUGAAGCAUCUGUAGCAAUAAAGAACAAGAAAGAUGGUGCGUGACCAAGCAAACAAGGAUGGUUUGUAAAGAGCAAUCUGAAACUUUAUUUUGAUAAAUUAUAUAUGGAUUUGGGAAUCAAAACGGAGUGAAGUUGAUCCGAUUUUAUGAACUUGAUACAUGUUUGUCAUUUGAUAUGUAUUUCACUAGUGAACUAGAUGGAUGCUUAUGGAAUGCAUAUGUUAACUUGUUAUAUAGUGUGAAUGGAUUUCAAUUUUUGUCGAAAGUUAUAUGAAUGAAGGGAAUGAAGUAUGUUAGUGAUGAU